rnacentral:rRNA from 1 species
AUGGGAUCAAUCAGUACCCAACAUACACUUUACGGAAGGGAAACUAUUUUCAAGAAAACACUAGAUGAUAUCACCAUUGGUACAUAUCAUUCGGAAACCAGCCUUUCUGUUCUUCCUAUAAUUGGUCCAGGGGGUAUUGGAAAGACAACUUUCACCCAACACCUCUAUAGUGAUAAAAGAAUGGAAGAACACUUUGAUGUUAAGGUUUGGGUGUGUGUAUCAACUGAUUUUGAUGUGUUUAAGCUCACCAAGCGUAUCUAUGACGGCAUGCUUGGAGCUGAAAAAGAAGAAAGCAACACAAGUGCAAAUCAAACAACCAACUUGAACGGGCUACAAGAAUCUAUCACCAGGAAAUUGAAGUCCAAAAGGUUUUUGAUUGUCUUUGAUGAUAUAUGGGAAUGCAACAGUGAAGGUUGGGAAAACUUGUUAGCACCAUUCAUCAAUGGGGACACCAAGGGCAACAUGGUUCUCGUUACAACUAGAUUUCCAUCUAAAGCUGAAAUGGUGAAAACAACCAACCCAAUAGCACUGGAAGGUCUGGAGCCUCAGGUCUUCUUCACAUUUUUUCUCAGACUGAAGCAGCAGCAACGCUACAAGUUUUUCUCAGGUUGUUGCUUGCUUGCCGGAGCUGAACUGCACUAG